rnacentral:rRNA from 1 species
AUUGAACGCUGGCGGCAGGCCUAACACAUGCAAGUCGAACGGUAACAGGAAGCAGCUUGCUGCUUUGCUGACGAGUGGCGGACGGGUGAGUAAUGUCUGGGAAACUGCCCGAUGGAGAGGGAUAACUACUGGAAACGGUAGCUAAUACCGCAUAACGUCGCAAGACCAAAGAGGGGGACCUUAGGGCCUCUUGCCAUCGGAUGUGCCCAGAUGGGAUUAGCUAGUAGGUGGGGUAACGGCUCACCUAGGCGACGAUCCCUAGCUGGUCUGAGAGGAUGACCAGCCACACUGGAACUGAGACACGGUCCAGACUCCUACGGGAGGCAGCAGUGGGGAAUAUUGCACAAUGGGCGCAAGCCUGAUGCAGCCAUGCCGCGUGUAUGAAGAAGGCCUUCGGGUUGUAAAGUACUUUCAGCGGGGAGGAAGGGAGUAAAGUUAAUACCUUUGCUCAUUGACGUUACCCGCAGAAGAAGCACCGGCUAACUCCGUG